rnacentral:lncRNA from 1 species
UGAGAUUCGACAGGGAAGUUCACUUACACUAAAGGAGAGAUAGGAAAACUUACCUCUUUUCAUCCUUAUGCUGAGGGAGUGCUGGGAGAGUCUUCAGAGCCCAUUCCUCUGAGCUCCGGCCCUUAGAUAACAUCAUUGAAACUUUGCGUGUUACUGCCUUUGACGCUGCCUCCUCUGCAGGACAAGAGCAGCAUAUAGAAGCAAUGAUAAAUAAGCCUGAUAAAAAGAUUGUUUUCUUAAAAGAUCAUUCUUCAGGAUCCUGAUGACCUAAUGAGAUAAUCAAUAUGAUGGCAAUUUAUAAGCUCCUAUGAGGUAAGCCAAUGUUAGCGGAAGUUACUUCCCAGGGCUAAUGACCAGUUGAGCAGUCAUGACCCUGAGUGUGACAUUACUGAAACCAUUCUUUAACCCAAACUGACUAGAAUUUUUCAAGAAACCUCCAAAAGUUAGCACAGUUGCGAGUUACAGAAGGUUCACACUCGGUUUGAUGUGACUUUAAACCUGAGGCAUCUGCCCUGUGAUCACUGACUUCUCCUGAAUCCUAUUAAAGCCUUGAUUCUUGGAGCCAAAAUUCUCCUGGGAGAAAAUAUGAAGGCAGCUUUUUGUCACUGUCAUUGUGGUUAACUGAUGAUCCCUGGGUAUAGCACUAAUAUGAAAUAUAAGGGAAGUAAAAAAGUUUCACUAUUUCCAGGUGUUUCUAGAAAAUAAGGAGGUGAUGGUGAACUGUGAUUUCAGAAAGAAGAGGACAGAGCACUAACACACUGACUAAGCCAUACUACAUUGCAGACCCCAAGCGAGCUCUUUACUCACAGUAUCUCCCUCACCUUUCUUUUUUUGUUUAUUAUACUUUAAGUUUUAGGGUACAUGUGCACAUUGUGCAGGUUAGUUACAUAUGUAUACAUGUGCCAUGCUGGUGUGCUGCACCCACUAACUCGUCAUCUAGCAUUAGGUAUAUCUCCCGAUGCUAUCUCUCCCCCCUCCCCCCACCCCACAACAGUCCCCAGAGUGUGAUAUUCCCCUUCCUGUGUCCAUGUGAUCUCAUUGUUCAAUUCCCACCUAUGAGGGAGAAUAUGCGGUGUUUGGUUUUUUGUUCUUGCGAUAGUUUACUGAGAAUGAUGAUUUCCAAUUUCACCCAUGUCCCUACAAAGGACAUGAACUCAUCAUUUUUUAUGGCUGCAUAGUAUUCCAUGGUGUAUAUGUGCCACAUUUUCUUAAUCCAGUCUAUCAUUU